rnacentral:lncRNA from 1 species
AAGAAUUUUUAUCAAUAUAUUGUAUUUUUAAAUAAUUUUCUUAAAAACUGCUAUUUCUGGAAAGUUUUCAUUUUUUAGAGAAAUAUUGUAGAUUUGGGUUUGUGAUUUAAAAAUUAGGAUAACAAGAAUAUUUGUGGAUAGAUGAAUAUUAUUUAAGAAUUUUUCAUCAAUGUGUUGUAUUUUUAAAUAAAUUUCUUAAAAACUGCUAUUUUUGGAAAGUUUUCAUUUUUUAGAAAAAUAUUGUAGAUUAGGGUUUGUGAUUUAAAAAUUAGGUUAACAAUAAUAUUUGUGGGUAGAUGAAAAUUAUUUAAGAAUUUUUUAUCAAUGUGUUGUAUUUUUAAGUAAUUUUCUUAAAAACUGCUAUUUUUGGAAAGUUUUCAUUUCUUAGAAAAAUAUUUUAGAUUUGGGUUUGUGAUUUAAAAAUUAGGAUAACAAUAAUAUUUGUGGAUAGAUGAAUACUCUUUAAGAAUUUUUCAUCAACACGUUGUAUUUUUAAAUAAUUUUCUUAAAAACUGCUAUUUUUGGAAACUUUUCAUUUUUUAGAGAAAUGUUGUAGAUUUGGUGUUGUGAUUUAAAAAUUAGGAUAACAAGAAUAUUUGUGGAUAGAUGAAUAUUAUUUAAGAAUAUUUCAUCAAUGUGUUGUAUUUCUUAAUAAUUUUCUUAAAAACUGCUAUUUUUGGAAAGUUUUCAUUUUUUAGAGAAAUAUUGUAGAUUUGGGUUUGUGAUUUAAAAAUUAGGAUAACAAUAAUAUUUGUGGAUAGAUGAAUAUUAUUUAAGAAUUUUUCAUCAAUGUGUUGUAUUUUUAAGUAAUUUUUUUAAAAACUGCUAUUUUUGGAAAUUUUUCAUUUUUUAGAAAAAUAUUUUUGAUUUGGGUUUGUGAUUUAAAAAUUAGGAUAACAAUAAUAUUUGUGGAUAGAUGAAUACUUUUUAAGAAUUUUUCAUCAACACGUUGUAUUUUUAAAUAAUUUUUUUAAAAACUGCUAUUUUUGGAAACUUUUCAUUUUUUAGAGAAAUGUUGUAGAUUUGGUGUUGUGAUUUAAAAAUUAGGAUAACAAGAAUAUUUGUGGAUAGAUGAAUAUUAUUUAAGAAUAUUUCAUCAAUGUGUUGUAUUUCUUAAUAAUUUUCUUAAAAACUGCUAUUUUUGGAAAGUUUUCAUUUUUUAGAGAAAUAUUGUAGAUUUGGGUUUGUGAUUUAAAAAUUAGGAUAACAAUAAUAUUUGUGGAUAGAUGAAUAUUUUUUAAGAAUUUUUCAUCAAUGUGUUGUAUUUUUAAGUAAUUUUCUUAAAAACUGAUAUUUUUGGAAAAUUUUCAUUUUAUUGAUAAAUGUUGUAGAUUUGGGUUUGUGGUUUAGAAAUUAGGAUAACAAAAAUAUUUGUGGAUAGAUGAGUAUUAUUUAAGAAUUUUUCAUCAAUGUGUUGUAUUUUAAAUAAUUUUCCUAAAAACUACUAUUUUUGGAAAGUUUUUAUUUUAAAGAGAAAUAUUAUAGAUUUGGGUUUGUGAUUUAAAAAUUAGGAUAACAAAAAUAUUUGUGGAUAGAUGAGUAUUAUUUAAGAAUUUUUCAUCAAUGUGUUGUAUUUUAAAUAAUUUUCCUAAAAACUACUAUUUUUGGAAAGUUUUUAUUUUAAAGAGAAAUAUUAUAGAUUUGGGUUUGUGAUUUAAAAAUUAGGAUAACAAAAAUAUUUGUGGAUAGAUGAGUAUUAUUUAAGAAUUUUUCAUCAAUGUGUUGUAUUUUUAAAUAAUUUUCUUAAAAUUGCUAUUUUUGGAAAGUUUUCAAAUUUAUAAAAUCAUUGUAGAUUUGGAUAACUAGACUAUUUGUGGACAGCUGAAUACACUUGAAGAAUUUUUCAUCAGCAGGUUAUAUUUUUAAAUAAUUUUCUUAGAAACUGCUAUUUGUGGAAAGUUUUCAUUUUUUAGAGAAAUAUUAUAGAUUUGAGUUUGUAAUUUACAAAUUAGGAUAACAAGAAUAUUUGUGGAUAGAUGAGUAUUAUUCAAUAAUUUUUCAUCAAUGUGUUGUAUUUUUAAAUAAAUUUUUAAAAAUUGCUAUUUGUGGAGAAUUUUCAUUUUAUAGAUAAAUAUUGUAGAUUUGAGUUUGUGAUUUUAAAUUUAGGAUAACAAAAGUAUUUUUGGAUAUAUGAGUAUUAUUUAAGAAUUUUUCAUCAAUAGGUUGUAUUUUUAAAAUAAUUUUCUUAAAAACUGCUAUUUUUGGAAAGUUUUCAUUUUUAGAGAAAUAUUGUAGAUUUGGGUUUGUGAUUUAGAAAUUAGGAUAACUAGACUAUUUGUGGACAGCUGAAUACACUUUAAGAAUUUUUCAUCAAUGUGUUGUAUUUUUUAAAUAAUUUUCUUAAAAACUGGUGUUUUUGGAAAGUUUUCAUUUUUUAGAGAAAUAUUAUAGAUUUGGGUUUGUGAUUUAAAAAUUUGGAUAACAAGAAUAUUUGGGAUAGAUGAGUAUUAUUCAAGAAUUUUUCAUCAAUGUGUUGUAUUUUUAAAUAAUUUUCUUAAAAACUGCUAUUUUUGGAAAGUUUUCAUUUUAUAGAUAAAUAUUGUAGAUUUGAGUUUGUGAUUUUAAAUUUAGGAUAACAAGAAUAUUUGUGGAUAUAUGAGUAUUAUUCAAGAAUUUUUCAUCAAUAGGUUGUAUUUUUAAAAUAAUUUUCUUAAAAACUGCUAUUUUGGGAAAGUUUUCAUUUUUAGAGAAAUAUUGUAGAUUUGGGUUUGUGAUUUAGAAAUUAGGAUAACUAGACUAUUUGUGGACAGCUGAAUACACUUUAAGAAUUUUUCAUCAAUGUGUUGUAUUUUUUAAAUAAUUUUCUUAAAAACUGGUGUUUUUGGAAAGUUUUCAUUUUUUAGAGAAAUAUUAUAGAUUUGGGUUUGUGAUUUAAAAAUUUGGAUAACAAGAAUAUUUGGGAUAGAUGAGUAUUAUUCAAGAAUUUUUCAUCAAUGUGUUGUAUUUUUAAAUAAUUUUCUUAAAAACUGCUAUUUUUGGAAAGUUUUCAUUUUAUAGAUAAACAUUGUAGAUUUGGGUUGGUGAUUUAAAAUUUAGGAUAACAAAAAUAUUUGUGGAUAGAUGAGUAUUAUUCAAGAAUUUUUCAUCAAUGUGUUGUAUUUUUAAAUCAUUUUCUUAAAAACUGCUAUUUUGGGAAAGUUUUCAUUUUUAGAGAAAUAUUGUAGAUUUGGGUUUGUGAUUUAGAAAUUAGGAUAACUAGACUAUUUGUGGACAGCUGAAUACACUUUCAGAAUUUUUCAUCAAUAUGUUGUAUUUUUAAAAUAAUUUUCUUAAAAACUGCUAUUUUUGGAAAAUUUUCAUUUUUUAGAGAAAUAAUAUAGAUUUGGGUUUGUGAUUUAAAAAUUAGGAUAACAAGAAUAUUUGUGGAUAGAUGAGUAUUAUUCAAGAAUUUUUCAUCAAUGUGUUGUAUUUUUAAAUAAUUUUCUUAAAAACUGCUAUUAUUGGAAAGUUUUUAUUUUAAAUAGAAAUAUUAUAGAUUUGGGUUUGUGAUUUAAAAAUUAGGAUAACAAAAAUAUUUGUGGAUAGAUGAGUAUUAUUCAAGAAUUUUUCAUCAAUGUGUUGUAUUUUUAAAUAAUUUUCUUAAAAACACCUAUUUUUGGAAAGUUUUCAUUUUUAGAAAAAUAUUGUAGAUUUGAGUUUGUGAUUUAGAAAUUAGGAUAACUAGACUAUUUGUGGACACCUGAAUACACUUUAAGAAUUUUUCAUCAAUAUGUUGUAUUUUAAAAAUAAUUUUCUUAAAAACUCCUAUUUGUGGAAAGUUUUCAUUUUUUAGAGAAAUAAUAUAGAUUUGGGUUUGUGAUUUAAUAAUUAGGAUAACAAGAAUAUUUUGGAUAGAUGAGUAUUAUUCAAGAAUUUUUCAUCAAUGUGUUGUAUUUUUAAAUAAUUUUCUUAAAAACUGCUAUUUUUGGAAAGUUUUCAUUUUUUAGAGCAAUAUUAUAGAUUUGUGUUUGUAAUUUAAAACUUUUGAAACAAGAAUAUUUGUGGAUAGAUGAGUUUUAUUCAAGAAUUUUUCAUCAAUGUGUUGUAUUUUUAAAUAAUUUUCUUAAAAACUGCUAUUUUUAGAAAGUUUUCCUUUUUAGGGAAAUAUUGUAGAUUUGGGUUUGUGAUUUAGAAAUUAGGAUAACUAGAAUAUUUGUGGAUAGAUGAGUAUUAUUCAAGAAUUUUUCAUCAAUGUGUUGUAUUUUAAAAUAAUUUUCUUAAAAACUGCUAUUUUUGGAAAGUUUUCAUUGCUAAUUUUAAGAGAAAUAAUAUAGAUUUGGGUUUGUGAUUUAAAAAUUUGGAUAACAAGAAUAUUUGUAGAUAGAUGAGUAUUAUUCAAGAAAUUUUCAUCAAUGUGUUGUAUUUUUAAAUAAUUUUCUUAAAAACUGCUAUUUUUCGAAAGUUUUCAUUUUAUAGAUAAACAUUGUAGAUUUGGGUUUGUGAUUUAAAAUUUAGGAUAACAAAAAUAUUUGUGGAUAAUUUUAUAGAGAAAUAUUAUAGAUUUGGGUUUGUGAUUUAAGAAUUAGGAUAACAAGAAUAUUUGUGGAUAUAUGAGUAUUCUUUCGGAGUUUUUCAUCAGUCGGUUGUAUUUUUAAAUAUUUUUCUUAAAAACUACUAUUUUUGGAAAGUUUUCAUUUUUUUAGAGAAAUAUUGUAGAUUUGGGUUUGUGAUUUAGAAAUUAGGAUAACUAGACUAUUUGUGGACAGCUGAAUACACUUUAAGAAUUUUUCAUCAAUUUGUUGUAUUUUUAAAAUAAUUUUCUUAAAAACUACUAUUUGUGUAAAGUUUUCAUUUUUUAGAGAAAUAUUACAGAUUUGGGUUUGUGAUUAAAUAAUUAGGAUAACAAGAAUAUUUGUGGAUAGAUGAGUAUUAUUCAAGAAUUUUUCAUCAAUGUGUUGUAUUUUUAAAUAAUUUUCUUAAAAACUGCUAUUUUUGAAAAGUUUUCCUUUUUAGAGAAAUAUUGUAGAUUUGGGUUUGUGAUUUUGAAAUUAGAAUAACAAGAAUAUUUGUGGAUAGAUGAGUAUUAUUCAAGAAUUUUUCAUCAAUGCGUUGUAUUUUUAAAUAAUUUUCUUAAAAACUGCUAUUUUUGGAAAGUUUUCAUUUUAUAGAUAAAUAUUGUAGAUUUGAGUUUGUGAUUUUAAAUUUAGGAUAACAAGAAUAUUUGUGGAUAUAUGAGUAUUAUUCAAGAAUUUUUCAUCAAUAGGUUGUAUUUUUAAAAUAAUUUUCUUAAAAACUGCUAUUUUGGAAAAUUUUCAUUUUUAGAGAAAUAUUGUAGAUUUGGGUUUGUGAUUUAGAAAUUAGGAUAAGUAGACUAUUUGUGGACAGCUGAAUACACUUUAAGAAUUUUUCAUCAAUGUGUUGUAUUUUUAAAAUAAUUUUCUUAAAAACUGCUAUUUUUGGAAAGUUUUCAUUUUUGGAAGAAAUAUUAUAGAUUUGGGUUUGUGAUUUAAAAAUUUGGAUAACAAGAAUAUUUGUGGAUAGAUGAGUAUUAUU